AGCUAGCAUCUAGGCAUCCUUUGUGAAUCUAGGCGCCUGGCUCCAGGCCCGCGCGUCAGUUUUUCGUCGACCUGCAAGUCGUUAACAGUGUAUCACAGUGACGAUCUGAAUUAAUUAAAUAGAGGAAAAUGGACGGAGGAAGAAGUGGAAAUGCUUAGAGGCUGCAUUAAGCGGUUUGCAGAGGAAUUGAAUAAGAUAACUCACCAUAUAAAAACUCGAACCAUGUAAGCUAUAAUGGUAGACGACCCGCCGAUACGACCAGGCUUUGCUAAGUGGCGGCAAGUCCUUUGCGAAACAGAAACCGGCUUCGCACCAACUUGAAGGAAAAAGCGUUUAAACAUGCAGGUAUACCUGUGCGUAAGGUAAGCAGAACAGACACCAGCUCUCAGCCGGCACCUCAUGUGGCACCCGCGCCACUGAGAGAUCUCAUCAGGCAGACGGUUUUAAGACUGGACGCAGAGGUAACCCUGAAUAUGCUGAACGCUUCGGAGGCUGAGGAAGCUGACGGCCUCAGCAGGGAGAUCAAGCUGGAAUUUGAUUCAGCGUACGACGAAGCGGCAAUUUGAUGUGAUACAUUUAGUUUCCUUUAAGUUACUCGUGUUUUGUACCAGGCUACAGCUGAUGACGAACUGUUGCUGAGCAAUGGGAGCAACCAUACCCUUGUACAACCAACGGUUAACGAGGAGCCCUGCUCGCAUGUUUAACUUGUAUCAAAAUUCAAAAUUUUCUCAAAAUUCCCAUUUCACUGACAUAUUAUGUCACCCUCCCUUAUGACACUAAAAUCUGUAAUUUCUUAAUUAUAUAGUCAUUUUUUAUGUGUGUUUUGUAAGAUAUUGUCGGCGAGAGUGAAAUGAUUUUGAUUAUUCGUUUUUGAACUGUCGUGGUAUCCACUAUCAAUUGGUUCCAUUUAUUUAUUUUUAACUUCGCUGAGUAGUUCAUUUGUUAUCUCAUAUUACUGUAUGUGACCUGGUGCGUGGAUAGACGAUCUCAUCCAUCGCACACGUCCACUGCUGUUCUACGGAGAUGACAAAAGAAUAAGUUAAUAAUGCUUACAUGGAACCUUUUGCAUGGAAACUCAUACGAACAAAAAGAAUCCUCCAAAUCAGGGCACGAACAUGCGACGUUAUCUUUAUAAAUGCAUUAAAAAAGAUAGUCUAAUUAAGAAGUUAUUCAUAUUUUAAUGUCUCAACUAAUUGGCAAACAGCAUUGGCUUAUGGGGAGUGGUUGGUUCCAUUACUUUUUGUACCUUGUAUUGGACAAAGAGCGUAUCUCUGUAAGGAAAAGGUUGCCAACGAGUCUGUCAUCUUCUCGAGUAGUCAACCAUUCCCAGAGUGCGCUCUUCGUUCCAAUGUUUAAGAUUAUUUUGAUUAUAUAAUUUUUAAAGUUAGGAAUUCCAGUUUAUUUGUAACGGGUAUCAAGCUUGGUUGGGCAACUACUCACUAAACAUAUUUAGCGCUACAUCUAAAACGUUGUUCUGUCCCGGUCAAUUUCUAAUAAUUGACUGACACAGUAUGAUGUUUUUAGCUCUAAACAUGCUUAGUAAGGGGUCGUACAAGUGGGCCAAAGUUAAGUUUAAUAUAUUUUGGUUGUGAUUUUUACCAAAGAUGCUUUCCGUAGUUAAUUUCUCAAAAUUAUUCACAUUAUGUAAGUUGCUGUGCAUAAUGAAGGAGUGGACACAAAGUGCGACUUCUUUGAAGAUCACUCUUCAUUAUGUACUAAGAUUUUUUUGUGAUGGUCUAGACCUGAAGGUUUUUGUAGUAACAAACUGGAUAAAGGAUGUCCAUUGGACUUAACCCAAUUAGAAACCUUUAUAGGUGGGAGUUUGGAUUAAGUGCAAUGGCGCUGGAGUGAGUUGAGACGGUAAAUAGUAAUAUUUUAGUAAAAUUUUCCAAGUGCCUUGGGCUGAAAGUAAAGUGUUAUCAGGAACCUUCUGUCUAUUCGGAGUAACAGUUCGGCUGCCUGGAUUUUAAUGUUGUUCCGUAAAUUUUCAGUUCAGGUUUGAUGUACCCUCUGGCGUUGACAAUGAACUCCUCUGUUUCAUUUGUGAUGAUACCCUAUAUAGCCCAAUAGAACCUCGCCUUGCAGCUUUUACUAAGCUCGGAGCUCUGAAGUGACGUUUUAUUACUGCAAUUAGGAUACCAUCAAAAAUAACAGAGUGACCAUUUUGCAGCAAAAUUGUGUAAAUUAUUUCAAUUUCAUUUAAUAAUUUAGUCAUUAUUUGCAAAUGCAAUGCUUUAUACUUCAAAUGAUUUGUGUCUGAGUUCCUUAGCGAGUUUCACCGUUUCUGAGCGUUAUCUGGUGGUGGAACUGUUUUUUUAUAAUAAGUUUUAUUAGUAAUAAUAGGUUGUUUUUUUACAAUUUGUCAAUGCCAGUGGUUUUUGUCCCUUUCCAUACAGAGCUGAAGUUGCAUAACCUUCGUAGUUUUAAUAGAUUUUAGGUCAAGUUACUUGUAACUUCAGUUUUGUAUAGAGGUGACUCGGGUUUUUUUUGAUACAUCGUUAAUAUGUUUCCCAUAUAUUUUAUAGCUGUUGAGUAUGCACCUCGUUGUUAUUUGGUGAGCGACUUUAUACCAAAAUGGCUUAUAAUCAAAACAUUGUUACUAUGAUUUCUUCUGCGUAUGAUUAGUUAUAAUAAUUUAUUUAAAACUUCUUUUUGUUUUUCGUUUAUCAAAUUGGAAUAAAAAUGCAAUAAGCCAACACUGCCAUGUAUGAUUAGCUGUCACUCGGAUGGUUAAUAUCUAUCGUAGAAUGUAAAAAUAUUAAUUGCACAUUUUUAAUUUGAAACUUGCGGGCUGAUCGUCCCACUGCUUAUUGAACAAACUUACCGUUGAACAUAUAUUUUUGUAACAUCUUUUGGUGGGGAGGCAGAGGGGAAUGAUGGAGGGAUUACACCGGUAAACGUGUCCAGCGAGCAGUGGUGCCUUGUGGUCGGUUUCGCUUAUUAGCUCAAAUGAAUAUAAAGCCGCUCAGCAGACUCGACCUGGAUGCUGUUAGCACCGAGCCUCCACGCCAGACGUGAAUGCUCCUCUUUUUGUUUUUUGUUUGUUAUCCGGCCCGCCCAGAUUGUCCUUGUUGUUGGUAUUCGGAAAGAGCUAUCGAAGGUUCAUAAGACUGAGUUUUGUUUCAAGGGACGGCAUUCCUUGUGGAUUGGAGGCUUUUUCAUAAUGUUUUGCAAUGUUUAUAGCGUAUUAUUAUAUAUUUACUGCUUCAGAUGUUAUAUUUAUAUAGGAAAUUAUAUUUAUUUACAGUUUGAAAGAUAUAUAUUUUUUUUAUUGCCUUAGAAAAUCAUAGGACAAAUUAGUAGAUAGAAAAAUGGCUUUGUAAAUAACGCAUAGUUUUGUGUGUAGAAGGGUUAGUUUAUUACAACAAUAUACCUCAAAUUAGGAAUUAGUAUGAGAUUGGUAAUUUUAAGUUAAAGCAAUGUGCAAAAGGGUGACUGUUGUGAGGAAGGAAACAUCUGGAUAAAUGCCGGCUGGUACCAUUUCAGAUUGACUAGUGUAACGGGUGAGAGCUUGUCGCCUCCACAACAUCGGCUGCUCAACAUCUUGCAUUGACCAUACACUCUUGGCUAGGGUAAUAACAUUUCCGGCGGACUCUGUAAAAGGAUCCCGUCGGUUAGUGCCUCGUUAGCGCCUCGGCUGAGACCUGUAUCACGUGCCUGUCUGGUCGAGUCCAGUGACAGCUGCGCCUGUCAGACUCCCAGUCUCCUGGAGCGGCAUCAUCACUGUAAAGUUGCCCUUCUGCACAUGUUUUGUAACAGCAAUAACACAUGUGCCGUACAGCAAUGCAGUACCUCGUUGUUCUCCGUUAUUGGGGGACAACAUGAUUUGUUUAGUGUCUUUUUGAAGUCGCUCAGUAGCGUCAUUCAUGUCUUAAAACUGCCUUUAUUAGUUGUAACAACAAAUAGCCAGCAAAUGUGCAGUGCCUAAGCCAAUCUGAUGUAUUGCCUUUAAUAAAUAUUAAUUCUCUUAAUGUAGGUAAUGAACUUGUAAUAUUACUAAUUCUUUUAAUUUGGGGAAAUGUUGGUUUUAGGUUAGGAUCGUAGUGUGUAAGGAUAAUUUUUAAUAACAUUGAGAUCUCUUGAUUAACAGACAUUUAAUAAACAGAUUUAAAACUUAGUAAUAAAUAACACUGUAAAUAUAGGUUAAUGUAAAUAGAAA